rnacentral:lncRNA from 1 species
AGGGGACUGGCCUAUGUGCCAAACAAUAGAUAGAUGACCCUUGACCUCCAGAUGUCAGUAGUAAAUGGCCCUGUCUGUCCAUCAGAAAUAUCUCCAAGGCUGGGGACCAGCUCAGUGGGCAAAGCCCUUAUCUUGCAAACAUGAGGACCAGGUAUUAAGGCAAAGUGCAGUGGCACAGGCUGCUAGUACCAUCACUAGGACAUGGAGACAUGUGAGUAUCCAGACUAGUUGAAUUAGAAAGCUUCAGGCUUGGGAGAGACCCUGCCUCAAAAAGCCAAGUUAGAUGGCUGCUGAGGAACACACACACGCACACGCAUGAGUCUGCACUCGAGGGUACUCAUCAAUGAACACUCAGAAUGCUCCCACUCACCCCUUACAAACACAAACCCACAGAAAAUGUUGCUGGACAUUGUCACUUGUCUCAGCUGGGGGCAUUGAGAACUUCUAGCUUCAACUAGGCCUUGGUGCUGGACUGAAAUGCCAAAGCCAGCUCACUCCCAUUUUCACCUGACUGGAGGCCGUCAGUGCCAGCACCUCCCUGGCAGCUGACGGUCUCCAGAAUUAAGAGGGUGACAUAGAAAUGCUGGCAUUUGUUCAGCUGGCUGUGUGUAAAAGCCUGUCCCCUCGGGGACACAGUGUGAUUCCAGCAGCACCUGUCGACAUUCAGACUCCCCCCCCCCCCCCCCCGAGACAAUUCUGUCCAUUGGCCACAGCCUCCAUCUGAAAUACUGUUUUCCUUGGAAAUGUCCCCAGUGUGGACUUGCCCAUUGAAAUUUAUUACAUAAGUCCUUUAGCUUGGUCACCAUCCAAAACGGGCACCUGGGGCCAGCUCCUCCGGCUGACCGGUGAUCACAUGUAAGAGUGGCUUUUAACACUCUCUGAGGAUGGCGUACACAGGGAUGAUCCGUUUGGCCGUAUCCACGUCCCUUCCUCCCUUCAACUCCCCAUACCGUCUCCCUCAGAACUUCAUGUCCUUUAAGGUUUUGUGUGUGUGUGUGUGUGUGUGUGUGUGUGUGUGUGUGUGUUUAUUAGUCGAGUGCAGGGAUGUGUGUGUGUGUGUAUGUUUAUUAGUUGAGUGCAGGGAGUGCCACCCAUAUACACAUAGGACUAGGGACAUUCACUACCACAAUCUAUCCGCAGCCACUGUCACACAAAGUAAAGUAAGUAUCAGGUCUAAUUCACGGCUAUAUGAUCCGGACUUCAACAAUACAAGCUAGAAGGAAAGGUAUUUAUUUAAUAGUACAGGAAAGAGAGGGGGGAAGAGAGAGAGAGAGAGAGAGAGAGAGAGAGAGAGAGAGUUCGCCAGGACCCAAAAGUGACCCUCUGCUGCCCAGUAGGGAAGACCAGAGAAUGACAAACAACUGGCAUAGAGUGAGCCUCAACUUGGCAAAACUCCCUCUAGAAACCAAGCCCCGAGCACAGGCCUCAAAAGCCUGUAAUGUGUUCUCAUAAACCUGGGCCAGAGAGGGUAGGUAGGGUCCCUGAAAGGAAGAGGCUGUCAGGCCCACAGCUUGUCAGCCGAACUUGACCCCUCUGUGGCUGAUGUGCCUUCUAAUCCCACCAGUGACAGCUUCGAGUUCUGGGCUUUCAGCCUCCCCCAGCCCGACCUGCCUAGCUGCUCAGCACACACACAUGCGUUCUCAGCAGACGGGCCCUGUCUGUCUCUGUCCCUUGCAGACAGACAGACUCCACACCUUGUCUGAAAGGAGCUGCCACGUGAAGGUUUAUCUUUCCUCCUCAUUUCUCUUCUUCCUUUAUUUUACCCUCUUCCUUUUCUUUUGGUUAAUUAAUGUCUAGCUGCCAACCUGGGCGACAGACAGCGCAUACUAAUCUGAGUCACGCAGGAGAGCCUUUUAAGGCGGUCAUUAUCUGCUCAGGUUGUUUAAUCCUUUGGGGGCAGUGGGAGGGGCCUGGGGUGGGACCUCUUUCAUCCACAUCAAGCUUUAGAGCCAAGACUCUGCGCUCUGUCAAGGUAGAGACUUAGCACCAUAGAGGGAGAGACACUGCCAGUGAAAGUGGCUGAACCUUCUAAUCCUCACACUUCCUACUUUUAAAGUCUCCCCAUGAAUGGGAGAGGGGGCAGUUGUCACCUGAAUUGAGUGGGUGGGGGCGGCGUGCACCGGACUAGCCAAAAGAAUAGAGGAGCCGUAGUUGGGUGAUGUAUAAAUUCUGUGUGACUGCUGAUGUGUAAGGAAAGAGGUUAGACAGGAUUUAAAAAUGAAAACACGGGGAGCUGGUGAGGUAGCUCAGUGGUUAGGAACCUUUGUUGCUCUUCCCAGGCCCCCCACAUUAGCCCGCUCACAGCUGCCCAUAACUCCAACUCGAGGGCAUCUCUCUCCUUCCUCCAGUGUCUGCAAGCACACACACACACACACACACACACACACACACACACACACACACACAUGCGCGCGAGCACCUAACUAAAAAUAAAAUAGCUGUAAAUGAGAACACGUAUUCGAAUAGAGCACUUGAAUUUGAACAUAUCUAAAAGGCCCAUGUCUUUUUUAUUACAGAGCGUAUACAAAGCGAGACAGGGAGGGAUGGAAGGAGAAGGGGAGGAGGGAGAGAGAACCUGACCUCUCGUAGAAAGACGCCACACUAUCUCAGAUCUUCCACAUACUCUGCCCCCAGCAGCUGAGACUGUAACAUUACUCCUGCGCUUAUGCCCAUGACAAAUCACGGACUCACUCGGGAUUCCGGUAACGUGGUACCAUUACCACAUUACCAUGUAAGAACUGGGACAGACUGGCAGAGCAUGUUCAGACACGGCUCUGAAACGUGGUGACCUCUCCUUCAUUUUUUUCCAGUGGAUUCACCUUUUUUGUCUCAGGACAAAUGAAGCAAGAGGGAUAAUGGGCAGAGUCACUUGUUUGUGUCCAGUGUAUUGCAUCAGAUGACAACAGGCCGAUUGUGUGUGUGCCUAAUGCUCUCCCUCCUGCCUCGGCUUCUCCCUAGACUGUAUAAAUCUAACUGGAAAAAAAAAAUGGAGUAGAGCUUCCUGUUAACUCUCAAGCAUGUCAUGGCUCUCUGUAAGCAAAACAAGUGACACAGAGUUUGCUCAUAGAGGUCCCCGGUGAGGGCGCAGAGAUGAACCCUGAGGAAUGAGGUGUGGCCUGCUGGCUGGAGGAGAGGCUAGAGGGCAGCCUACCAGGGCAGCCUACCAGAGCCACUGUUGGUUUACAGCCUUUGCCUGCCCACAUGUCUGACUUGCUUUGAAAAGAUUAACAGGAGUGUUUGUUUGAAAGUCAGACUCCUGGUUUCCUCAUUAGUAGAGGGAUUUGCUGCAGACUUGGGCUGUGCUUAUAAACUCUAAUUACCUCUCUGAUGAGGAGUCUAUUUCUCUCACAUUCAGCCCAAAUGUACACAAGAGUUCCUUUUGUAAAAUCGUGUUAGAGCAAUAAAAGAUUAUUGAGAGGGGGUGGAGGGGGAGAGGGAGAAACAAGAACACAAGCCCGAGCUCUCCGUGCUGAAAUAAUAGGCUUGGAACAGAAAGAAGUUGAUCACAGCCCAUGCCUUCC